AUGAGUAUCAACCGUCAUUCUUUGCGCCGCUAUGUUUACAGUUUCAUGAAUUUAUGGGCACCCAAAAAUGGCGAUAUUAUAGAAGCCAACUGUAAACAUAGCGGUGCAAAGCAUGACGGUUGAUACUCAUUCUUUAAACAU